CCUACGGGGGGCAGCAGUGGGGAAUAUUGGACAAUGGGCGAAAGCCUGAUCCAGCCAUGCCGCGUGUGUGAAGAAGGCCUUCGGGUUGUAAAGCACUUUCAGUGGGGAAGAAAGCCUUGGGGCUAAUACCCUCGAGGAAGGACAUCACCCACAGAAGAAGCACCGGCUAACUCCGUGCCAGCAGCCGCGGUAAUACGGAGGGUGCGAGCGUUAAUCGGAAUUACUGGGCGUAAAGCGCGCGUAGGCGGUCUGAUAAGCCGGUUGUGAAAGCCCCGGGCUCAACCUGGGAACGGCAUCCGGAACUGUCAGGCUAGAGUGCAGGAGAGGAAGGUAGAAUUCCCGGUGUAGCGGUGAAAUGCGUAGAGAUCGGGAGGAAUACCAGUGGCGAAGGCGGCCUUCUGGACUGACACUGACGCUGAGGUGCGAAAGCGUGGGUAGCAAACAGGAUUAGCUACCCGAGUAGUC
rnacentral:rRNA from 1 species